rnacentral:rRNA from 1 species
AUUGAACGCUGGCGGCAUGCCUUACACAUGCAAGUCGAACGGCAGCACGGGAGCUUGCUCCUGGUGGCGAGUGGCGAACGGGUGAGUAAUACAUCGGAACGUACCCUGAAGUGGGGGGAUAACGUAGCGAAAGUUACGCUAAUACCGCAUAUUCUGUGAGCAGGAAAGAGGGGGAUCGCAAGACCUCUUGCUUUAGGAGCGGCCGAUGUCGGAUUAGCUAGUUGGUGAGGUAAAGGCUCACCAAGGCGACGAUCCGUAGCGGGUCUGAGAGGAUGAUCCGCCACACUGGGACUGAGACACGGCCCAGACUCCUACGGGAGGCAGCAGUGGGGAAUUUUGGACAAUGGGCGCAAGCCUGAUCCAGCCAUGCCGCGUGAGUGAAGAAGGCCUCGG